CCUACGGGCGGCAGCAGUGGGGAAUAUUGGACAAUGGGGGGAACCCUGAUCCAGCCAUGCCGCGUGUGUGAAGAAGGCCCUCGGGUUGUAAAGCACUUUCAGUGAGGAAGAACGCCUGGUGGUUAAUACCCAUCAGGAAAGACAUCACUCACAGAAGAAGCACCGGCUAACUCCGUGCCAGCAGCCGCGGUAAUACGGAGGGUGCGAGCGUUAAUCGGAAUUACUGGGCGUAAAGCGCGCGUAGGUGGCUUGAUAAGCCGGUUGUGAAAGCCCCGGGCUCAACCUGGGAACGGCAUCCGGAACUGUCAAGCUAGAGUGCAGGAGAGGAAGGUAGAAUUCCCGGUGUAGCGGUGAAAUGCGUAGAGCUCGGGAGGAAUACCAGUGGCGAAGGCGGCCUUCUGGACUGACACUGACACUGAGGUGCGAAAGCGUGGGUAGCAAACAGGAUUAGAUACCCUUGUAGUC
rnacentral:rRNA from 1 species